rnacentral:lncRNA from 1 species
AUGGCAGAGAACUUUGAAGACGAUGAUGGCUCAUUUAUUAAGAGAGUCUUAGCAUGGCUACUGGCGUACACAACGUCAUUUUUCCAUGAUCAAAACUUGGAGUCAUUUUUGCUUUCCUUCCUCCCCAUUUAUCAAGUCAUGAAGCCCACCGUUCCUGCCUUCGGAGCAGCUCUUGUCUCUCACCUCCUCAGUCCAGCCAUUCCCUCCACCAGGCGCCUCGCUUCAUCGCUUACUUUCUUUAGCAGAAACCCCUUCAAAUUCUGUGUUAUUUUUUAUUACCUUUUCCCCCCUUCCGAAAUAUAAGUUGAGCAGUCACAAAAGAAAUGUAUGAUGAAAAUACAUUAAUAUCCCUUCGUUUCCCCUCAAUCCUACUUUCUUAAAGACCAUCAAAAUUAACAAUUUGGUAUGGGUCUUCCCAUAUUUUCCUGUAUAGUUUAAAAAGUAGGUCGUGCAGCAAAGUAAUCGAAUGGAGAACAGAUAGUUCUUUCAAGAAAUGGAGCUGGGACAACUGGGUAUCAUGUGGGAAAAAUGAAACUCUGCUCUUACCUUGCACUGUAGGUGAAUGUAAAACUUAAAAAUUCUAAAAGAAAGUACAGGAGAAAAUCUUUGCAACUUGGGGUAGCAAAGAUUGCUUGAAUAGAAUGCAUAAAGCACCAGUCAGAAGAAAUAAUUGAAAAGUUGGGCUUUAUCAUUAAAGUUAAAAAAAAAAACCCUGCUCUUCAAAAACCACCAUUAAGAAAAUGAAAACUCAAAUAUGUGACAUUAAGAAGAAAAAUUCUCUCUCUAUAAAGAACCUGUAGGAGUUCCCUAGUGGCUCAGUGGGCUAAGGACCUGGCAUUGUCGCGGCUGUGGCUCUGGUUCCUGCUGUGGUGUGGUAUUGAUCUCUAGGCUUGAACUUCUACAUGCAUGGGUGCGGCCAAAAAAAAGAACUUGUGAUUAGGUAUAAAAAUAACUCUUACAAUUUAACAAUAAGAAGACAACCUAAUUAAAAAAUAGGCAGAAGACUUGAAGAGACAGUUUACAAAAUGUAUGCAAAUGGCCAAUGAGCACAUGAAUACAUGCUUAUCAUUAGUUUUCAUGGAAAUACAAAUCAAAACCACCAUGAGAUGGUAUUAUACAUCUAAUUAAAUGUUUACGACAACAAAAAAAAGGAUGACAAUACCAGGCAUUGGCAGGGACCUGGAACACCUGGAAACCUCACACAUGGCUGGUGGGAGACUUGUUUGGCAUUUCUUUGUAAAAUUAAACAGAUACAUGUGACCCAGGAAUAUCUCUUGUAAAUACUCAAGAAGAAUGAAAAGAU